rnacentral:misc_RNA from 1 species
UCCGGUUUGUCACCGGCAGUCUCCUAUGAGUUUUCCCUAUAUGUCAAACCUUGGUAAGGUUCUUCGCGUUGCAUCGAAUUAAACCGCAUGCUCCGCCGCUUGUGCGGGCCCCCGUCAAUUCCUUUGAGUUUUAGCCUUGCGGCCGUACUCCCCAGGCGGGGUGCUUAAUGCGUUAGCUGCGGCACGGAGAACGUGGAAUGUUCCCCACACCUAGCACCCACCGUUUACGGCGUGGACUAC